rnacentral:lncRNA from 1 species
GGAACACACAGUCCUGUCUCCAAACACCAAGAGACGAUGAGUCACAAACCAAAGCCGUGGAGCCAGGAAGUGUCUGUCGGCGGGAACUAAUCCUGGUCACAUUACUACACAAAUGUCCCGGUGGCUUCACAUCAGUCCUGCUGGUCUCUGCAAACUUCCAGAGCUUCGCCGGGUGGCUCUCAUACCUGUAACGCCAGCACUCAGAAGACGUAUCAAGACAAGAACAGAAUCCAUCAGAAGAGUCUGUCUCAGCAGACCAGAGGCUGGUGAGGUAGCUCAGUGACAGAGCUCUCGCCUGGC